rnacentral:rRNA from 1 species
UAAGGAAUAUUGGUCAAUGGAGGCAACUCUGAACCAGCCAUGCCGCGUGAAGGAUUAAGGCCCUCUGGGUUGUAAACUUCUUUUAUAUGGGAAGAAAUGUACUUUCUCUAAAGUGCUUGACGGUACCAUAGGAAUAAGCACCGGCUAACUCCGUGCCAGCAGCCGCGGUAAUACGGAGGGUGCAAGCGUUAUCCGGAUUUACUGGGUUUAAAGGGUGCGUAGGCGGAUGAAUAAGUCAGUGGUGAAAUCUCCGAGCUUAACUCGGAAACUGCCGUUGAUACUAUUUGUCUUGAAUAUUGUGGAGGUAAGCGGAAUAUGUCAUGUAGCGGUGAAAUGCUUAGAUAUGACAUAGAACACCAAUUGCGAAGGCAGCUUGCUACACAAUCAUUGACGCUGAGGCACGAAAGCGUGGGGAUCAAACA